rnacentral:misc_RNA from 1 species
GAUGAAGAACGUAGCGAAAUGCGAUAAGUAAUGUGAAUUGCAGAAUUCAGUGAAUCAUCGAAUCUUUGAACGCACAUUGCGCCCGCCAGUAUUCUGGCGGGCAUGCCUGUUCGAGCGUCAUUUCAACCAUCAAGCCCCCGGCUUGUGUUGGGGACCUGCGGCUGCCGCAGGCCCUGAAAACCAGUGGCGGGCUCGCUAGUCACUCCGAGCGUAGUAAUACAUCUCGCUCAGGGCGUGCUGCGGGUUCCGGCCGUUAAAAAACCUUAUUUACCCAAGGUUGACCUCGGAUCAGUUAGGAAGACCCGCUGAACUUAAGCAUAUCAAUAAGCGAGGA